rnacentral:lncRNA from 1 species
AACUUCAUACAGCACCCGUAGGUCCACAUCAAAUAACAUGGCUUCCUCUGUGUCAUAGCAUUUUUGUUCAUGUGUUAUUUUUCUUUUUUCUUCAUCCUGUUUUAGACUCUGUUCAUUUAAGACAUCGGUGAGUUUGUAAUUGCUCUGAUGAACCUCUACAGUUUUUAAACAAUAAUAACAUUUAAUGUUUAUGUGGUUUUUUGAAACUGUUCAGACUUCUCAGAUUUGGAUUUCUUUUUGGUCAUCCUUCACCAUCCUGCUGUCCUGAGGAGCAGGUCCAGCCACCAGCCCCCAUCAUAGGACACAAAAAUAUUCACCUAACGGACUCAGAAAGUGAGCGACUACUGGAGGAGUCAGGCCGCCCGACUCUCUGCGGUUCUCAGCACUCUGACCACGUAACGAGCCGUGAGAGCGGCGUCAGCCGGGGGUAGCGACGCUCAGAGGCCGAGAUAGGCGAUCCCCAGUCCAGGGUGGAGCAGCGUAGGCGUGAGGGCACAUGGUGAGCUCUCAGUGCUUCGUAUUUUGAUUUUUAAACUACACUUUUUACCUCUGCUUACUGACUUAUUUUUGCUCUUCACUGUGUAUUUAGGGGGGAGGUUUAACCGUCUCAGGACGCUGAACAACAGGAAAAAGGAGGCGGAGGAACGACAGACGUCAGAGCGAGCGGAGCCUUCACGAUGCCCUCAGCAGGCUCCACAAGAACAAGACAUCGUUUUCUUUACGGAAAGAACAAACACAGAGCGGAGAAGACGUUCUCCUCACUUUGACUAAAACAGAAACAUCUUUACACAAAACAGCUGAUCUGACACAUCACGAGUAAAGAGAAAUAAAACAGAAUCCUCUCUUUGCUCUGACUCGCUGCCUGCGGUGAUUUCAUCAAUCUGCAUCACGUCUGCUCUGCUUCACUGCUGCAGUGAAGUCAGUGCAACAUACCUGACGUGUCCUUAUCUGAGCUCACUCACCCGCACAUCAGCAGUCAGGGUCAGAGGUCACCAGCAGCUGGUUAUCACCUGGCAGGGCCAGCAGUAACUGACCAAUCACUAACAAGGUUAAAUGUGCUGACAGCUGAUAAAGCUGUAAUAUCCGACAGAUAUGAAGAGACAACAGAAUACAGACUGAAGCUAACUCCGCGGUGUGACCAG